UACGGGGGGGGCAAGCGUUGUUCGGAAUUACUGGGCGUAAAGGGCUCGUAGGCGGCCAACUAAGUCAGACGUGAAAUCCCUCGGCUUAACCGGGGAACUGCAUCUGAUACUGGAUGGCUUGAGUUCGGGAGAGGGAUGCGGAAUUCCAGGUGUAGCGGUGAAAUGCGUAGAUAUCUGGAGGAACACCGGUGGCGAAGGCGGCAUCCUGGACCGACACUGACGCUGAGGCACGAAGGCCAGGGGAGCAAACGGG
rnacentral:rRNA from 1 species